UACGUAGGGUCCGAGCGUUGUCCGGAAUUAUUGGGCGUAAAGAGCUCGUAGGCGGUUUGUCGCGUCUGCUGUGAAAACUAGAGGCUCAACCUCUAGCCUGCAGUGGGUACGGGCAGAUUUGAGUGGUGUAGGGGAGACUGGAAUUCCUGGUGUAGCGGUGGAAUGCGCAGAUAUCAGGAGGAACACCGAUGGCGAAGGCAGGUCUCUGGGCACUUACUGACGCUGAGGAGCGAAAGCGUGGGGAGCGAACAGG
rnacentral:rRNA from 1 species